rnacentral:lncRNA from 1 species
AGGUACUACCGUUCUAUUCCGUGAACAUCUAUCUGAUUAAAUUAUGGGUGGAAAGUUACCACAAGAUAUUCUAUGAACAUAGUACAAUGUCUUCCUGGAGGGGUAAAAUUUUCCAUUACAAGGUUUUAAGAGAGGCCAUUUACUGUUCAAUUUGCGUUCAUUUUCAAAUUUGCCGCGCGAGUAUCUAUGAAGCGUCGCGUGGUCAUUGGUCAUCACUAUUUUCAUAAGAUAACCGAUAACCUAAAAAUUUAGUAAAAAUUUUGAUUGGAAAAAAAUGCAUCGAUAAGGGGGUGUGGGAAAUGGAAAUUAGUGGCUUUUUUGCUGUACUGUCUCCUAGUUUUUGCUCUGGGCUCUGGCUUAAUCUCUUGUUUAAACAAUUUUAAUCAGCUGAAAGUGGCCCUACAAAAAAAAACCAAGAAGGAAAUGUAUAGCCUUGUGGCUAUGAAAGGCAAAAGAGAGAUAUAAAAAGUGUAUUGGCUAGUUGGAAGAAAGUCCACAUUGUCCAUGCAUAAUAAGUUAUUACUUUAUCAACAAAUAUCAAGAAGAUAGCAGGAUCAGGAGCAACAACUUCAUAAGUUCAAGAAUAUCGAGGAAAUCCAGCUCCUCGAUACUACUGGGCAAACUAGAAGAUUGAAGAGGACCAAGCCUUUUGAACUAGUUUGAGUGAUAGGUGAUAGUGAAAAACGGAGCAUAGUGCUUGUGUGCUGUGCCUGUGUAUGUUAGAAUAGUGCACGAUCUUGUUAGAUAAGAGACGCUAUGGGGUAAGCUCUUCAUUUUAAGAAACAGUAGUAAUUUAGGUUAAAUUAAAAUUGCUCAUUGGUCAGUUAUGACCAGAUUGUUUUUUUAUGUUUGGCAAAAAGGACUUAAGUCAGAAUUGCACAUUGAUAAUGUUUUGAUGAUUUCUGGACCAGAAAAAAACUGUUGUAGAUGUAAACUGUAUGUACAGUAGAAUCUACUACAGUACUGUAGAAAUCAUCAAAACAUUAUCGAUGUGCAAUUCUGACUUAAGCCCUUUUUCCCAAACAUCAGAGAAUUGUAAUGUACAAUAAUUCUCCUAUCUGCUUUUUCAUGAAUUUUGUAGGAGACGAAAAACCAUUUUUAGGAUCAUCUGCUUUCACAUGUAAAUUUUGACAUGUUUUGUAGUAAAUAGAUAGUUGAAUUUACUACAAAACAUGUCAAAAAAUAUAUGAAAACAGGAGGUGACUAUAAAAAAAGUUUUUAGUCUCUCUUACAAAACUCAUGAAAAAACAAAUCGGAGGUAUGUCACAUCAGUGACUAUAUCUAGGGAAUGUCUAAAAAAUAUACUUUGAUGUCGUAAGAACCAAAUAUAACCUACAGUCCAUCUAAUUUACUUACUGUUGCACGUCAUUAUCUACGCCAGAGAUCUAAGUUGACAUAGUUGCCAAAGUAUAAAAAGAUCCUGAAUCCAUUUUAAAUCAAAUAUAUCACAUAAUUAUUGUAAACGUGGAUUAUACAACAAAACAAAUUAAUAUUCAAUGUAAAUAAGUAAAAACUUAAGAAAUAGAGAACAAGAAUUAAGUUAUAAUCUUUUAAGAUUUGCAGUGCAAGAGUUUUUGCACUGCAUUGUUAAUAAUUAAAAAACGGCUCCGAACUCUUGGCAAAAAGCCGGUAGGUUUCUUUGUAUAAGUAUGUCUACAAUAACAACUAAAAAAGUUGUCAGAUACCUCGAUUAUUCCAAGUCGUUAUAAAAUUAGGUGAAAUUUAUAUUUUUAUAGUAGAGGAUCUUUUUAUAGUAAAGUAAAUAAUAAAAACAGUAAAUAUAAUAAAUAAAACAGAUACUUAUAGUAAAGAAUAUAAACAAAUAUGAAGUGUCAUCACCGUAACUGUCAAAUAAAUGUUACCAAUUUAUUCUAAAAUGUUACCUUUGUUCGAUUACAGUUACAGUGUGAUCCGAACAAAUCUGCUUCAUAAAAACGCUUUAUAAUCCAUUUAUACAAAUUAAAUGAAACAUAUUAUUGUGUAUUUCUUUAGGUUAACAUUAAUAGAAAUCUUCAAAUAAUAUUUCUACGCGUAUAUAAUAAAAUAUGUCUAGUGGCUGUAAUUCCAGUGUACUCGGCAAAGUGAUUCUAAAAAAGAACACACCUACCGCCUAAAUAUUUCGUGUUGGUAUCAUGCGACCUCACAGGCUACGACGUGGAUGACGCGCAACAGUUAGUAAAUUAGACGAAGUAUGUAGAUAUAUACAGGGUGUAACAAAAAUACAGGUCAUAAAUUGAAUCACAUAUUUUGGGACCAAAAAUAGUUUGAUUGGACCUAACUUACCUUAGUACAAAUGUGCACACAAGAAAAGUUACAGCCCCUUGAAGUUAUAUAUAUAUAAUAGCACUAAGGGCUUUAGAGGCCCAUGGCUUGAAAAGUUUGUUUUUUUUCUUCAUUUUCACGUUUCUUUAUGUACUGAGAUCUUCUCUGGCUUGAUAUGUGAUUUUUCUCCAUUCCUUCCUGUUAUUCAUUUUUCUUUUCUGACCCUGUAGCACCAUUCUUUCCAAAUCUUUUUCGACCUCUUGCUUCCAUCUAUUUUUCGGCCAUCCUCUUCUCUUUCUUGAAGCUGUAGUGUAGUUUAGUACCAUUUUUGGAGUCCUCGUGUUUGGCAUCCUUUCAAUGUGACCUCGCCAUCUAAGUCUCUGUGCCUUUAUCACUCAUUUGAAGUUACAAGAUGAAGUGAUUUUUUCCAAUAUAUCGAAAACUAUUAGAGAUUUUUUAUUGAAAAUGGACAUGUGGCAUUAUUAUGGCAGCAGUAUCUUACGAAAAAACUAUAGUAAAAUUUGGACACCCCAUAAAAAUUUUAUGGGGGUUUUGUUCCUUUAAACCCCCCCAAACUUUUGUGCACGUUUCAAUUUAAUUAUUAUUGUAGUACCAUUUAAACACAACGUUUUAAAAACUUUUUUGCCUCUUAUUGCUUUUUCGAAAAGUCAAUUUUUAUCGAAAUAUUUUGAAUAUUUGUCAAAUUAACCACAUAUUUGUAUAUGGUUAAGUACGAUUAUGGAGACUUGGUAAUAAUAUUCAGACUUAUUUAUGCUUUACAUUUUUAGGUAUAUUUUGAACCAUAUUAAAAAAGAAGCCAGAUCUCGAUAAAAUGUGCCUUAUCGAAAAAAUACAAAGAGGCAAAAAAGUUUUAAAAACAUUCUGUUUAACUAAUGGUACCUCAGUAAUAGUUUAAUUGGAACGUACACAAACAUUUGGGGGGUUUAAAGGAACAAAACCCCCAUAAAAUUUUUAUGUAGACAUGUUAAAAAAGAAGUCACAACUCGAUAAAAACUGCCUUAUCUGAAAAAUA